AAGUAGCUCAGGGUCACUUGCUCUCAGGAGCUUCUGAAGGAGGAGCCUCUGGGAGGAAGUUGGCCACACCCCUUUCCAUCCCAGGCGGCUGCUGCUAGCUUGGCCUCAGGAGUUUCUGGAGAGAAGAUGGCCAGGCCCUUUUCUGCCUCUGGCUACUAUUAGCUUCUGGCUUUGUCUCAGAGCUUUUGGACUACCUCACUGCAUCUGAUCCUGAUUUGUCUUCCUACCUACUGCUCUGCUGCUGAGUGAAUGGCUGGAGGCCUGAGGGGCUUAUGGACAAAUCUUUGACAGAUAAAGCCGCUCCACUGCUCCAGUCUUCAUUUACACCUGCUUCAGCAGCCUUUCCUGUGUGUUUUCUUUGCCUUUGUGUGGUUUUGAUCACCUGUCAAACUCAUUGAGUUCAACCUUUUUUGGAAUUUUGGAAACCUCUGUUUACACAGUAAUUGGAAUAACAGUCCCAUAAUAUCAAACUCCUGAGGGAAGCUCUUUUGGAACAAAACAGAAACAAAAAAGGUUGCACCAAUUUUGAAUCUGAUUCCCCACAACCAGCAUACCUCCACAGAGAUGUCCGGGUAAGCUGCAGACUGUCAGCAGAGUAUGCAAUUCUAUUAAUUAUUCAGAUGUUUCAGCAAAUUUAUGUCUAUUGAGAGGCAAUCUUUUUCAAAUGACAGAGUUGGUUUAAGCAUCGAACAAACCAGUUUACCUGCCCUGAGAUGGUGCCACCACUAUGCAUAGGAAGCCUGGCAUAGAAACUCAGAACAGGACAAUGGGAUUUGACUGUGGACAAAAGUACAGCAAUAAAUCAAUGACUCAUAAGCGAAACUGUAAGCAUAGUAUAUCAUGCACUGGCAGGUACAUUCUUAUGUGUAUAUGUGCACAGAUAAAGAAACUUGCAAGUCUGUGUGUGGACAUAUACUUCUAUGGUACUCUCUCUAGUAGAGUUGGUGGCAUGUAGAUGCGUUAAAUUGUAAACCUGCAUGUAGAUUCAAUAACCAGUUUUCUAACUACACAUACCCCAUACCUACAUUUAUGUGUUCUGCAGUGUUCACAUUGGUCAAAUAAAAAGCAUCAGCACCACAUCUAUUUGUUUGCAUUGAGGACCAGUAUGUUUUCUUUGCACUUAAGUACUGUUUAGAGCUCUCUUUAUGAGCUUCAAUUAGGGUUUUGCUAUGGAGGGCUUAUUAGAACAGUU